GAUGAACGCUGGCGGCGUGCUUAACACAUGCAAGUCGAACGAAGCGCUUAAGGACAAUUCUUCGGAGGUGUACUUUUGCGACUGAGUGGCGGACGGGUGAGUAACGCGUGGGUAACCUGCCCUAUACAGGGGGAUAACAGUUAGAAAUGACUGCUAAUACCGCAUAAGCGCACUAGAACCGCAUGGUUUGGUGUGAAAAACUGAGGUGGUAUAGGAUGGACCCGCGUCUGAUUAGCUUGUUGGUGAGGUAACGGCUCACCAAGGCGACGAUCAGUAGCCGGCCUGAGAGGGCGACCGGCCACAUUGGGACUGAGACACGGCCCAA
rnacentral:rRNA from 1 species